UCAAACAAUCCAACAAUAUAAUAUCAAGCCAACAUAGUAAAGAAAUCCCAAUGGAUUAAAUCAGUCUAGCUAAACAUGUUCAUGUUUAAAACAAUCUAGGAAAUCAAUUACAAUGAAAGAAUAAUAAAAAUAAAACAUGUACACCCUUUUCUCUCGAAUUGGAUGAACAGCUUCAAAUCUGGAUCUACACUUUGAUUAAUCUCCCAAACUGCCUCUUGAAUUGCUUCCACUACGGUUUUGCACUCAGAACCUUGUGAUUCCGGGAUUCUUACUCCCCGCAACUCUCUCUCGCACUCAAUACUGUGCAGAAACCGAACCAGCCGCCAGUGCUAUAUGUCACUCUUUUUCCUCUCUUUUUUUCUAAGAAAAAUUCAUUUUUCUUAUAUAUUUAACUCAGCACGGCCGUGUUCAAGGUCGUGCUGGUCAGCACGGCCGAAGUCCAAGCCGUGCUGAAACUGUGGAUCUCACCAAGUAGGGUUUCACCACGGCCGUGUUUCUCCCCGUGUUGGCCACCACGGGCCGUGUUGCUCCCCGUGUUAUCCACCACAGGCCGUGCUGAAGGCCGUGGUGGCUACAAAAACCAUGCCCAAAGUGCCAAUUUCAAGAAUCAAAGCCAAUGGUUGAGCACGGCCAAAGUCCAGGCCGUGCUCAAUGUAUGCAUUGCGGGCUCUUGUUCGAUCUUGAUGAAUUCUCGUCCGUUUCUGCACGUAUUGAUCUAUAAUUGCUUAAACACCGAUGAUGGUCCUAUAAAUGUUCCUGAAAUGCAAAAGAACACAAAACACGGGUGAUCUGGGAAUAAAAGCACAAUAAUUGCCAAGAACAUACGCAAUAAUAUGCAAGCAAAUAUAUGUAAAACUAUGCUCAUCAUCGAUGUAUCAGUAUUGCUUAAAGAAUACCUUGAGAAAAUAUAACUAACCUUAAAUCUAGGAUGUAUCAUUCUAUUUAUAGCAGUACGGUUAGGAAAUGAAUUUUUUGAAUAUCACAAUAAAUUAAUAUAUAUCAAAACACUAAAAUAUUAUUUUCAACUUUAUUAUUUUUACUUUACUUUAUUUUUUCUAUUAUAUCUUUUAUAUUUUUUUUAUAUGAAAUGAAUUUUUGAAUAUGUCAAAUUAAAGUCAGCAUAACUUAAAUAUUUAACUCCAAUUGAAAAAAGCCAGUAUGUUUACCGAGGAUAGUAUUACCAAUAUAUUUUAUUAUAAUACAUUUAAAACAUACUUUCAUUUUACCUUUACUUUUUUAAAAAAAGUUUUGAUACAUCCAAAUUGCAACUUUAUUUCCUUUACCGGAAGAACUGAGAACUACAAUAAAACACAUUUUGUUUAGCUUCCAAGGUGAUGUUAAGGACUCCCAAAGCUGAGACAGAACAAGCAUAAGCCUAAUUCAUGGUCAAGUACAUGCAUUCUAUCAUCUUGGAGUCUUCAUUUUAUUUAUUUGUUCAUUUAUACUGUAUUAAUCUAUAAAUUUAGUUUCUACAUUAGAAUUCUUUCUUAGUGGCUUGCUAAGAACUAACUUUCUACAUAUGUCGAUGUAUCAGUAUUGCUUAAAGAAUACCUUGAGAAAAUAUAACUAAC
rnacentral:lncRNA from 1 species